rnacentral:tRNA from 1 species
GGAGAGUUGUCAGAGUGGCUUAUUGUGCUGGUCUUGAAAACCAGUGGUCCUAAUAAGAUCCAGGAGUUCGAAUCUCUUACUCUCCG